rnacentral:tRNA from 1 species
CCGUCGAUAGCUCAGUUGGCAGAGCGGUGGACUGUAGAUCAAUAGGUCGCUGGUUCGACUCCGGCUCGACGGA